rnacentral:rRNA from 1 species
CCCGCUGAACUUAAGCAUAUCAAUAAGGCGAGGAACAGAAACCAACAGGGAUUCCCCUAGUAGUGGCGAAUGAAGCGGGAAAAGCUCAAGUUUGAAAUCUGGUGGGUGACCCCCAGAGUUGUAAGCUGAAGAGGCGUAGAUCGACGCGGCCUGGGCUCAAUUUCCUUGGAACAGGAGGUCAUGGAGGGUGAGAACCCCGUCUGUGGCUCGAGUGCCGUUGUCCUUGUGUCUUGUCCUCGUAGAGUCGGGUUGUUUGGGAAUGCAGCUCAAAAUGGGUGGUGAAUUUCAUCUAAAGCUAAAUAUUGGCGAGAGACCGAUAGCAAACAAGUAGAGUGAUCGAAAGAUGAAAAGUACUUUGAAAAGAGAGUGAAACAGUACGUGAAAUUGUUGAAAGGGAAGCGUUUGGCAUCAGCCCAUGGUGCCCAAAGAUCAUCCAGGCUUCUGUCUGGUGCACUUUUUGGGUGCUGGGUCAGCGUCGACUUUGCCUGCCGGAGAAAGGCCUCGGGCAUGUGUCUCCCUUCGGGGUGAGUUAUAGCCCUUGGCGUCAUGCGGUGUGGUGUGGUUGAGGUCCGCGGUUUAUCCUAGGACGCUGGCGUAAUGGUUCCAAGCGACCCGUCUUGAAACACGG